UAAAAGUUAUUUUGUCUCACAGGUUAAUAUAGUAAUAAAGGUUAUUUUGUCUCACAGGUUAAUAUAGUAAUAAAGGUUAUUUUGUCUCACAGGUUAAUAUAGUAAUAAAGGUUAUUUUGUCUCACAGGUUAAUAUAGUAAUAAAGGUUAUUUUGUCUCACAGGUUAAUAUAGUAAUAAAGGUUAUUUUGUCUCACAGGUUAAUAUAGUAAUAAAGGUUAUUUUGUCUCACAGGUUAAUAUAGUAAUAAAGGUUAUUUUGUCUCACAGGUUAAUAUAGUAAUAAAGGUUAUUUUGUCUCACAGGUUAAUAUAGUAAUAAAGGUUAUUUUGUCUCACAGGUUAAUAUAGUAAUAAAGGUUAUUUUGUCUCACAGGUUAAUAUAGUAAUAAAGGUUAUUUUGUCCCACAGGU